rnacentral:rRNA from 2 species
AACGCGAAGAACCUUACCUACUCUUGACAUCCAGAGAACUUAGCAGAGAUGCUUUGGUGCCUUCGGGAACUCUGAGACAGGUGCUGCAUGGCUGUCGUCAGCUCGUGUUGUGAAAUGUUGGGUUAAGUCCCGCAACGAGCGCAACCCUUAUCCUUUGUUGCCAGCGGUUAGGCCGGGAACUCAAAGGAGACUGCCAGUGAUAAACUGGAGGAAGGUGGGGAUGACGUCAAGUCAUCAUGGCCCUUACGAGUAGGGCUACACACGUGCUACAAUGGCGCAUACAAAGAGAAGCGACCUCGCGAGAGCAAGCGGACCUCAUAAAGUGCGUCGUAGUCCGGAUUGGAGUCUGCAACUCGACUCCAUGAAGUCGGAAUCGCUAGUAAUCGUGGAUCAGAAUGCCACGGUGAAUACGUUCCCGGGUCUUGUACACACCG